CAAAGAGAAGGUGGAAUUGGAUGAAGCAAACAAAAUAGUGAAGCUUAUUGGACUGGAAGGUGAUGUGUUCGAGAUUUAUAAGGUUUACAAUUGCAUAUGGCAUCUCAAAGGUAAUCUGGCAAAAGUGACUAUUGAAUAUGAGAAACUGAACGACAAUGUUCCUGCUCCACACAUAUACUUAGAUUUUCUGGUUAGCAUGACCAAGGAUAUUGAUGCUUCCCUUGUCAAGCCUUAAAUCUUAGCAAAGUGACCUGUCGUUCCUGUUAAACUGGGUCCUUUCCUUUUGUAAUAAUAAAAUAAAAGCCUCCUGGUUAUAUACAUUUGAGAUGUGAAAUUAUGGAAGAGCUGUUGCUAUUUGUAAUAUUGUUGAUUUGUGUGUGUUUUGUAAUUAAUUAUUAAAUAAAGCUAAAUUAUUAUUAUGCUCAAAUCUUUUUAUCUUCUUCCCUUUUAAUAAAAAUAAUAAUAAAUUAAUAAGAAAAAUUAAUUGAAAUUCGAAUCAUAUUCACAUACCAUUGAAUGUAAUGGGCCGGAGUUUCUUUUUUUCUUUUGUUUUUUCGGGUUCUUCUUAUACCAAUAACCCCUGUGGGGUUAAGAGCUACUCCUAUUAAUUAUAGGUCCCGAUACAUUAAAUAACUAGUUAAAGGUAUGGUUUUUUUUUAAUAAAUUUUGUUGAAAUUAAAUUCCAAUUUCAAUUUAUUUUUUUAAAAAUCAAUUUGUAUAAUGAAAACUUUUAAUCGUAAAUUCAAGAUUAAUUCUUAGUUUUCCUAUAAUAAGAAAUAUAAAAAACGAUUACAUAUAAAUAUUUAAAAUGAUAACAUUAUUUUUAAUUGGUUAUGCAAAUAAUAAAAAUGUAAAUUAUUAUACUUAACCUUCUCAUCCAGUAAUAUCAUCUCUGUACUCAUAAAAUCUCCAUUAUUGUUGAAAGACACCUCCCACAAUUGUGAUACCCUCAUUUUUAUUUUUCAAUCAUCUCUGUUAGUAUUGAAAUUUUCAAUUAUAUCAUACUUUUCAUUUGUAUUUGAUAGUUUAUGACUAUAAGAAUAUGUUAAAUAAUCUUUAGAAAAGGAGACAAAAAAAAAGUUUGAGUAAGAACUAGUUAUCCCAUUAGUGAAAAUAGUUGAAAUGCAAAAAAAUUGUGAACUUUUAAGAAAAAAACGGAUAAUAUAUUUAAAAGGAGGGAUUUUGCAAAAAAUACAUUAGAAUAUAGUGAUACAACUUAUAUAUAUAUAUAUAGUAUUUAAAGAAAAUUAAAGUGUUUAUGAGAGUAAACAAUUUAAAAUUUUAAAAAAGUAUAAUUACUACACUAUUUACAAAAAAAAAAAAAAAAAAGAAAUGGAAACAUGAAUAAAACUACACAAAUAACCAAAUCAAACGUUAAAAACAUUAAUACUCUAAGAAAGCAUUGAAAUGUUUUUGUAACUCCACAAAUUUGAAGCCAUUAAUAAAUGAAAUGUUUGUUAUUAAAUUUUAUCAUUUUUUAAAAACUGAUAAUUAAUAAUAAUUACUUAAACCAUUAAUACACUAAAUAACCAAAUCAAACCAAACCAAAAAAACUAAUUCAAAAUAAAUUUAAACUAAAAUAAUUCAUUAAAUAAUCAAAUCAAACCAAAUCAAAAACACCGACUCAAAAUAAAUCCAAACCAAAUCAAUAUAUUAAUACAUUGAAUGAUCAAACCAAACCAAACUAGAACCACUAAUCCUAAAUAAAUUUAAAGUAACCCAAAUCAAACCAAACCAAUAUAUCAAUACAUCAAAACAUUAAAUAAUCAAAUCAAAUCAUACUAAGUGAAAGCCUAAUUAGUGAAAUAUAUCACAUGUCAAAUUAAAAUGCCAAGUGAAUAUGCCACAUGUCAACUUUCUAAGGAAAAAAAAUACUUGCUUUAUAUAUAUAUAUAUAUAUAUAUAUAUUGAUUUGCAAUUUGCAGCUCAUCGUCCACCGGCCUUCAUUAUUGUUAUUAUUGUAGAGUUUUACUUUAUAUCACUCGUUGAGUGCUUGCAAAGCACAUAUUAUGUGGUAUGUAAGAGAUUUUGUUAAAUUGAUUGGCCAUUGUAAUUAUGCAUUUUGUUUUAUUGAUCUAUCCAUUUUGUUUUUCCGACCUAACGUACUUACAAUUAGGUUUCGAGUUGAUGUACAUUGUACGCCGAUGGGAAUCCUGGGAAUUUCAAGGAGAAGAUGGCGAUUGAUGAGGCAAAUAAGAGCAAAAUAUUUACUGCAACGGAAGGACAUGUUCUGGAGAAAUACAAGAGCUCUAAAGCUACUAUACAGGCUAUCCCAAGAGGAGAGGGAGGCUCUGUCAAAAUUACAGUUGAUUAUGAAAAACUAAAGGCUGAUGAUCUACCCCAAAUAACUACCUGGAUAUUCUGCUUACUGUUGUCAAGGAUGUAGGUGCUUACCUUGUCAAGACACAACAUAUUAUUGCCAACUAAAUCUAUAAAUAUAUGUAUAUUACUUGUUCGGUAAAAUAAAAUGAAUAUUUUAUAUAUUUUUCAUUAAUCUUUUAAAAAAAAAUUUAAGGAAAUGAAAUAAACAAAUGAAUUCUAUAAUUAAAAUUCAUUUAGAUUUGAAUUAUACAUGUAUAACUAACCUUUGACUUUGUAAUUUUCUUAUCAUAUGGUGUAAUUUUCUUAUCAUAUGGUGCAAGGGGAAUAACUUAACUACUCACGUUAUACGAAGAUUUACCCAUAUAUUAAAUUAAUAAAAAAUGAGUUUUUAGUCAAUAAGGAGAGUAUUGAAAUUUAUUGGGAAAAAAAUUGAAUAAUAAUAAUUUUUUUUUAAAAAAUCCUUUAUAGAUUGGCUCGGCGUAUGGAAUCAAUCAUAUUCAUAUAUUAAGUGUAUACAAAGGCAAUCCCAAAUCAUAUUUUGCAAACCUAUCCCCGGAACAAACCCAAAACGAAUAUAUAAAGGCAUGGCACUAGCUGGAAACUUGGAGGUUGAUGUAGAGCUAAAAUCUGAAGAACUUGUCAGCAGCCAAAUUCACCAAGUUCGAAAUACCUGUUCUGAUAAAAUCCAUCAUAUGAAUCAGGUCUAGGCAAAUUAACCCAUGUUGAUUAUUGUAUUCUAUUUGAUUGAUGCAAAUUAAUUUCUGUCUUUAAAAUUUUAUAUUUUACUAAAACAAUAAAUAUUAUACAUUUUUAAUCAUUUUAAUCUUUAAUGAGAAUUAUAUUUAAUAUUUGCAAUGUUUUAAAGCAUGUUAAUAUAAAAAUACAAAUUACCAACAAUACAAGUGUUAAUAUACCAUUAAUCAGGGGAAAAACACGAACAUAAUAAAAUAUUUAAAAUUUUAAAAGCCUGUGAAGAUAAUGAUAAAUCCGGAUAGACUAAGAGAUUAAUUAUAGAUUCGAUAAAUUUAAUAACCAGAGUGGUGGUUAUGUUAUGUGGGUCAUCAUGAUUUCAAAGUAAAUAGAAGGUAGUUAGUUGUUAACUGUCCUUGUCUAUAAAACAACCCGUCAUUCGAUUAUAGCCAUUGAUGUAUUUUUCGAAUACCUCCUCAUUUUACUAAAAUAAAAUAAUUUUGUAAGAGUUUAAAUAUAAUCCUGCAUUUUUAUAUUUUAUUUUGACAAGAUAUAUAAUUAUUACUGAAAUAUAAAAAUAUAGAAUCAUCAUAGUUUCGUCACAAAUUUAAGAGUACUACAAAACAAAGCACGUAUUCUUCGUAAACAAAUUUAUGAAUUACACUGUUAUUUUUUUAAUACUUUUCUCUAGAUUUUUUUUUUUAAUGUCAAGCACAAAGAAAAUGACUGUUCAACCAGAAACUUUUUCUAUAUUCUGGUUCCUUCUCCAUCUGUUGUUUCUAAUUGCUUCUUCAGUCCCCAAAACUUAUCAAGUUAGGCAUAUGAAAACUGUAAUCUUUUCUCUGAGAUGUAAAUAUUCUGCUGUUUUUCUGUUCGUGUACUGUCAUGCUUGUGGACUUUCAAAGCAUAUAUGACUGGACAGAAUCAUAUCCUAGGGCUGAGCACAUUUUUUAUUUUUCUAUAUUUCAUUAUGGUUAGUAUUAUUCAUAUUCUUAUCACUCCUCAUCUUUUGUAAUAAUUGAUUGCUGUGUCCUACCAGUGCCAUAAUUUCUACAGGAAUGCAGGAAAGGGUACUCAAGACUAGUACUUGUUUUGUUUCUUCUUAGAGCCUGAGAUUUAUACUUGUAUUUAGGCCCUUCAUUUGGAAGGCCUAUGUCUCGAAAAAACAGGUUAAGCAAAUAGUUCAGAGCAUCCAUGGGUAAAUGUUGAUACCCCAUUUUUGAAAUGCUGCAAAAAUUACAAAGAUUCACCUCUUCUACUAUUUCAUUUUGCUUGUUUUGAGCAUUAUCUUGUAGACGUUGGUCUGUUUCAAAAUUGAACAGAACCAAUAUUUCUACAUGCGAAAGCAAAGUCUUUUAGUAUAAAUAAAUUUUUAAGGGAAUUUAGUCCCCAUAACUUAAUGAAACUCAUAAAUUAUAAUUUUCAUUUUCAGAAAUUAAUUAUGUUACUUUUUAACUAAAAACUAAAUAGCACUUCUGUUAAAUUUUCUCUUAAAUUAUAAUGAAAAAUGGCAAUUUUGUUUUCGUUAUUUAUUACUAUUAAUAUGAUCAUUUCUCUAAAAAAAUAUUAUUAUUAUUAUUGCAUAUCACAUUGUACUUUUUCUUUUAUUCUAAAUAAUUCAGAAAUAAAAACUCAUUAAAAUUGACAAGUUAUUUAUAUGUUUAGAUUAAAUUAUUAUAUAAAAAGUUGACAACACUUUUUUUUUGUCUUUUAGGAGGACAGGAUCGAAAAGAGAAGUAUUCUGUUUGAUUUUUUUUGUUUUUUGGUUUUUUUUUUUUUUUUUUUUUUGAAGGGCUUGAUUUUUUUUUUAGUUGAUUAAUAAAAAAUUAAUAAAAUCUUAAAGAAAAGAUUAUUUAGUUGAAUGAUAAAAAAGAAAAAAUUGCCAUAUGAACUAAAGUAGUAAUUUAGCCAUAAUGGUUGCCAUAAAAGAAGGGUAAGAAGUCUGAUGAUGGCUCCAUAGCCAUAAAGUUGGGUCCCAUGUUGGUUGAACUUAAUUACACUUCUAAGUAAUUGAUGGGGACAAGUUCCUAGCCAUUGAAAAACUUGACCGAUGUGGGUUCCAUUUAAUAUACGGUCAUGAUUGAUGCUCUCCCCCUCUAUGUAUCCGUACUUGCUUCUGCUUUGUGGUGUUAUACGUCAUUGCCAGUUUCAUAAGCGGUCUAAUGGUCAAAUGGGCGGGGAUAAGCAUUGGAUUUGGUAAAUUCAGUGAUUUCAAUUAAUUCGGUUAAUUUAUCAAUUUAAUUUAGUGAAUAAAUAUUUAUUAAAAAUUUGAUUAAAGAAAAUUAAAUUUUUAGUUAUCAAUUAAAUGUUCGAUUAAAAUUUAAUUUAAUCAAAUUAAUUAAUUUUCAAAACCACGUUGUUUUGAUUAAGUAGAUAAUAAAAUUAAAAAUUAAAAAUGUUAAUAUUUAUUUUGAUUAAGUUGUGAUUAAUAAGUUCGGUUAAUCUUUAUUUUGGUUAAAGUCGGUGAAUUAUAAAUUUCGAUUAAAUUCGGUCGGUUAAUUAAAUUUUUACCUUGUUUUAACUUCGGUUCAAUUAAUGAUCAAAAUUAAUUCAGUCAAAAUGGUUUGAUUAAAAAAUUAGUUUGGUUAAGUCAAAAAAAUUUUAUUUAAUUUAUUUCGAUUAAAAGUGUUACACAAAUUGACUGAAUGCUCACCCUUAGUCUUGGUUAUUCCUUUUUUUUUUAAUUAUAUUAUAUAUAGUUGAUUGAUAUUUAAUUUUAAAAUCCAGUAUCAUCAAUUUAUCAACAAGUGAUUGCAUUUGGCUAAUACAUAAAUUUGAUUUUGAAUUUUAGUUAUUUUUUUACUAGUUCCUGAACUUUGCAGAUAUCAAUCAUCACUUUACAUGUCUAUAUUUUAUUUUGAUGCUAGACAUAGUUAUUAUUGAAAUCACAUUUUAUUUUGACACUGAAAUAUGAAAUUAAAGUGUCAUGGUGAUGGCGGUGGUGAUGUUGGCGGCAGUGGUGAUGGUGGUGGUAUUCUAAUUACAUUAUAUGUUUACGAACAAACAUAAAAAUUGAAUUUUUAAUUUAAAUAUUUCUUUUUUUGUUAAUAAUAUGAUGGUAGUGAUUGUGAUGGUGAUGGUGAUAGAGUUGUAGUUGUAGCGGUGAUGGAAAUGGAGUGAUGUUGAUGGCAGUGGUGAUGGUGGUGAUAUACUAAUUACAUUAAAUGUUUAAGAACAAACAUAAAAAUUGAAUUUUUUUUAAUGUAAAAAAAAAAUUGAAUUUUUGAUUUAAAUGUUUCUUUUUUUUGUUAAUAUAUGGUGGUAGUGAUGGUGAUAAUGAUGGUGAUGGUGAUGGUGGUAGAGUUGUGAAUCACGUGAUUUCUAAAGUCUAAAUCUCAACAAAUCAAGCUAUAAUUGGAGGUAGUCUUGCCCGGAAAAUUGUUUCAGUAGGAUAUCGAAAUCAGAAAAAAAAAAUAAAAAAUUAGAAUUAAAUAUUCGAUUAAAAAGUCUAUAUAAAGACAAGGUAACCAAAUCAAGAUUGCAUAUAGCGCAAAUACAAGUUAUAGCAACGCAUUCAUUGAAGAAAAGAAAAUAAAAAUGGCUGAUGAUUUGAAAGGUCAAUUGGAGGCUGAGGUACAACUCAAAUGCAGUCCUGAACAGUUCUUCAGCGUCUGGAAGAAUGAUGCCCAACAGGUUCCCAAUCACACUCCUUCCAAUGUUCAAGGAGUUAAACUCCAUGAAGGUGAUUGGGAGACUUCAGGUUGUAUCAAGAUUUGGGACUACACUAUAGGUAUCCGAAUAUAUAUGUAUCCCCAUUUCUGUGGAAUCCUUUAAUGGUUUUCUUUUUUAUUCUGAUAAUGAAAAUAUGCUCUUCCAAUAUUAAUUCACAUUUUGCUGUUUUCUAUACGUAAUUAGUCAAAGUUCAAUGUCUGCUGAUGCAGAAGGAAAGCCUGGAGUAUUCAAAGAGAAGGUGGAAUUGGAUGAAGCAAACAAAAUAGUGAAGCUUAUUGGACUGGAAGGUGAUGUGUUCGAGAUUUAUAAGGUUUACAAUUGCAUAUGGCAUCUCAAAGGUAAUCUGGCAAAAGUGACUAUUGAAUAUGAGAAACUGAACGACAAUGUUCCUGCUCCACACAUAUACUUAGAUUUUCUGGUUAGCAUGACCAAGGAUAUUGAUGCUUCCCUUGUCAAGCCUUAAAUCUUAGCAAAGUGACCUGUCGUUCCUGUUAAACUGGGUCCUUUCCUUUUGUAAUAAUAAAAUAAAAGCCUUCUGCUUAUAUACAUUUGAGAUGUGAAAUUAUGGAAGAGCUGUUGCUAUUUGUAAUAUUGUUGAUUUGUGUGUGUUUUGUAAUUAAUUAUUAAAU
rnacentral:lncRNA from 1 species